AUCAUGAAUAAAAACAUUAAAUAAAGGCUUAAUGUUAAGAAGAAGAAGAAAUCAUCAUUGUGGUUCACCCUCCAGUCCAGCAGGCGGCGGUAAGGCGCCAUUAAGCGGGUCCCAGCCGCCAUGACAGAACAAAAAGAAGCGGAAACGGGACCGGAGUCAUUUGAACCAGCGGAGACGUCGGGACCGGUGUGUCCGCGAGCCCUCCUCUCACUUUAACGGUUUUGAACGUUUGUCUGCUGAGGACGCCGGCGUCGCCUCUGAACAGCUGCCUGCGUUACACACAAGGGUUGCGUUAGUCACCGGGGAUGAUGUCCUUCGGGGACGCCGUGCAGAAGCUGCUCGGCCGUGUCACGGUGGAUGACGCGACUAAUUCCUCGGGGGCAAGAAGCCGAAAUGUGUCAGCUCUCCUGAACUUUGGGACAGGGUGAAUGUCUCGGUGGCGUCGCUCUCGUGUCCGUCAGAGUCGAACCAACGAAAUCGUAAACAGCGGUGAUGCUCAUGGCCCGUGAAGCCGGGUGGAAGUCUCUGCUGGCAGUGCUUUCUUAAUUUCUGUCCAGUCCAAAGAAGCGUCACCGGUAUUGCCUGGCUGGAUGUGAAAGGAGUGUCUGGAUCUGGUUUGAGGCCUUUUCAUCAUGACAGUCUCGUGAAGGCCGUCACCUGUGAAAUCCAGCAGGGUGGAAGUCUCUGCUGGCAGUGCUUUCUUAAUUUCUGUCCAGUCCAAAGAAGCGUCACCGGUAUUGCCUGGUCAACCGUAAACUAGGAGCUGCGCCGCAGCGAUUUCUCUUCACCGUCGUUUCAGGAGGAUUUUCCCACCAUCUUUAUCAGAGUUUUUGUGUGCAGAGAUUUUUGUUGAUGAAGAAAUAAAGAUGGAACUGUAACUAAA